UACGUAGGGGCCAAGCGUUGUCCGGAUUUAUUGGGCGUAACGAGCGCGCAGGCGGUCGUUCAAGUCGAGUGUGAAAGCCCCCGGCUCAACUGGGGAGGGUCACUCGAUACUGAUCGACUUGAAGGCAGGAGAGGGAAGCGGAAUUCCCGGUGUAGUGGUGAAAUGCGUAGAUAUCGGGAGGAACACCAGUGGCGAAGGCGGCUUCCUGGCCUGUUCUUGACGCUGAGGCGCGAAAGCUAGGGGAGCAAACGGG
rnacentral:rRNA from 1 species